rnacentral:rRNA from 1 species
CAAUAGCGUAUAUUAAAGUUGUUGCGGUUAAAAAGCUCGUAGUUGGAUUUCUGCUGAGAACGACCGGUCCGCCCUUUGGGUGUGUAUCUGGCUCUUUCUUGGCAUCUUCUUGGUGAACGUUGCUGCACUUGACUGUGUGGAGCGCUACCCAGGACUUUUACUUUGAGGAAAUUAGAGUGUUUCAAGCAGGCAUACGCCUUGAAUACAUUAGCAUGGAAUAAUAAGAUAGGACCUCGGUUCUAUUUUGUUGGUUUCUAGAGCUGAGGUAAUGAUUAAUAGGGAUAGUUGGGGGCAUUCGUAUUUAACUGUCAGAGGUGAAAUUCUUGGAUUUGUUAAAGACGGACUACUGCGAGAGCAUUUGCCAAGGAUGUUUUCAUUG